UGACCUCGGAUCACGACGUGAUUACCGCUGAAUUUAAGCAUAUUAUUAAGCGGAGGAAAAGAAACUAACAAGGAUUCCCUAGUAAACGGCCGAGUGAACGGGAAGAGCCCAACACCGAAUCCCUUGGCGCAAGUCAACGGGAAAUGUGGUGUGUUAGGUAUCCCUUCGUGUCAGUCUAGGCGUCUCAAGUCCACCUGAUUGUGCGCUCAAGCCCAGAGAGGGGUGUAAGGCCCGUUAGAGACGCUCCGACUGAUUCCUGGGGUUUACCUACGAGUCGGCUUGUUUGGGAAUGCAGGCCAAAGCGGGUGGUAAACUCCAUCCAAGGCUAAAUACUGGCACGAGUCCGAUAGCGGACAAGUACCGUGAGGGAAAAGUUGAAAGAACUUUGAAGAGAGAGUUCAAUAGUACGUGAAACCGCUUAGAGGCAAACGGAUGGUGCUCAUACUGGCCUGAGGAAUUCAACUGUGACGGUGGCUGGACGAGCUGGCGUUCCGAUCUCUCUUUUGGGACGGGCGUCGGUUUGGCUAUCAGCUCCGACAUGGUUGCACUUUCCUUGGUCUGCCUCCGCCACGACCGACGACACUGGCUACCGCGGCUGGGUAAGGUGACAAACUGCUUCGGCAAUUUGUGUUAUAGACCCCGGCGUCGGACAUGGUUUGGCCAGGACGUCGAGCUUGCGGCGCCCGCUCCUUGUGGCUCGCAUGUUGGCUAGCUUGGCGCCGAUGCUUGCACUGGACAACCAGUACAGGUGACGGUUGUGGUCUUGGUCUCUAGUUGGCCUCUGCGAGUUUGGCGCCUAUAGUCUGUGGUGUACUUGUGGGUAGACUAUCCGACCCGUCUUGAAACACGGACCAAGGAGUCUAACAUGUGCGCGAGUCAUGGGGCGAUUUCUACGAAACCAAAGGCGCAGUGAAAGUAAAGGCCUGCUUCUCGUUAGGCUGAGGUGGGAUCUCGUGCAUCGCGAUUGGCGAGCGCACCACCGGCCCGUCCUAUCUGUCUCUGUCAGUGGGGCGGCGCAAGAGCGUACACACGUUGGGACCCGAAAGAUGGUGAACUUAUGCUUGCGCAGCCUCGAAGUCAGUGGUGGAAACACUGAUGGAGGAGCGCAGCGUUUCUGACGUGCAAAAUCGAUCGUCAAACGUGAGUAUAGGGCGAAAAGACUAAUCGAACAUCUAGUAGCUGGUUCCCUCCGAAGUUUCCCAGAUCAGGAUAGCUGCACUCGGGAAACAGUUUUAUCGGUAAAGCGAAUGAUUAGAGGCAUUGGGCAUUGGUCGGUCGAAACCGACCUCGACCUAUUCUCAAACUUUAAAUGGGUAAGAUGCUCGUCUCGCUUAAUUGGAGGCGGGCUUCACCUCUCUAACGUGAAAGUGAGCUGCCAAUGGAGUGCCCAAGUGGGCCAUUUUGUAAGCAGAACUGGCGCUGUGGGAUGAACCAAACGCGGGCGGUUAGAAGGCGCCCCAAUGCGGAGACGCUCAUGAGACACCACAAAAGGUGUUGGUCGGUUACUGAACGAGGCAGGCGGUGGCCAUGGAAGUCGGAACCCGCUAAGGAGCUGGUGUAACAACUCACCUGCCGAAUCAACCAGCCCUGAAAAUGGAUGGCGCUGGAGCGUCGGGCCUAUACCGUGCCGUUGGGCGCGAAGCAGACAAAUAAUCUGUGUGGAUGUCCCACGAGUAGGAGGGUCGCCGUGGUGAGCGCAGAAGGUGGCGCGGCCGUGAGGCCGGCUGGAGCCGCCACGGGCGCAGAUCUUGGUCUCGGUGUAGCAAAAUUACUCAAGUGUGUGAGAACCUUGAGGACUGAAGUGGAGAAGGGGUUCCAUGUGAACAGCAGUUGAACAUGGGUCAGGCGGUCCUAAGCGAUCGGGGGUAACUCCGUACCUAGAACGAGGGUGACAACUAUCACUGAUAACUAAUUGUGAAGUGUUAUAGCCCUCCCGAGGCGAAAGGGAAUCGUGUUAAUAUUCACGACCCUUACCGUGGAGAUCGCCCUUUCGGGGGGCAAGUGCGGUAACGCAAACGAACACAGAGACGUCGGCUGGAAGCCCCGGGAAGAGUUCUCUUUUCUUUGUAAGGAGCGUACCCCCUGAAUCGGCUUGUCCGGAGAUAGGGGCGUGGCUUCCGUAAAGCAGCGCGGGUCUUGCGCUGUCGGUGCACUCUAGUCGGCCCUUGAAAAUCUGUGGGAGACACUGUUGGGAGACAGUGCUGAUUUUCACGGUAGGCCGUACCCAUAUCCGCCGCAGCAGCGGUCUCCAAGGUGAACAGCCUCUAGUCCUAGAACAAUGUAGGGUAAGGAAGUCGGCAAAAUGGGAUUUUUUUUUUCCCCCCGUAACUUCAGGCGAAAAGGAUUGGCUCUGAGGGCUGGGUCGGAUGGGCUUGCGCAGUAAGAAGCUGUUCCGGUUUGGUGAGGACUGGGUGAGGCUUUUCGGCUUUACUCGGACCAUGCCGAGACCAGGCAGUAGACGACGUCAGCUGUGCUUGUCGUGUUUCGGCGCGCAGCGGUUGCAGCUUCGUCCGGCCAACAAACAGCCAACUCAGAACUGGCACCGGACUAGGGAAAUCCGACUGUCUAAUUAAAACAAAGCAUUGCGAUGGCUGUUGC
rnacentral:ncRNA from 1 species